AUUACCAAAACCCCUUCCCCUUCGUCUACUAGAUUAGCAUAACGUUUAGACCACACCAACAGAUUCCCCGCCCAACGAAGCAAUUCGACAGCGGCUGUGUGAUCCCCGUUUGAAGCAAUGGUCGCCGCAACCCCUGUCGAAAUCAACGGAGAGCCUCUUUUGAGGCGGCGAAGAAAAUAGAAGGACAUGUUGUCAACUUUUCUUGAUAAUAUGCUGGAAAAAGAAAAGGCAGCAACAUUGCAACUCGUUGAGCCAAAGCAAAUGCAAAUGCGAUAGAAAUUGGAACUGUGUUAUUGGUCAUGAUAGUGCAUGAUGGUAAAUGAACUUGAGUUACUAAUUGCAAUUAUGUUAUGUAAGCAGAAAGACAUGAUAUGUACUUUUCUAGAUGAUAAGAAAGACCAUGACUGGGGAGCGAAAGUACUAAUCCUGGAUCCAAAAAGAAUGCAAAUGCGAUGGAGGGAUACGACGAAAAAUCUGGAUAGUGGGGUGUAUGCGAUGAGGCACAUGGAGACCUUCGUAGGAGAGAGUGAUACGAGUUGGGAGUGUGGGCUCAACAAAGGAGACAGAUCAAUAGUAGAAGCCUUGAGAAUGAAGUACAUGAGUGACAUACUACUUAGUGAGUGUAAUGAGCAUCAUGCAAAAAACCUCGCAAGCUCACCCCUAUUCGAGCAGCCUGGCAUAUUCAUGCGACAGAUGUAGCCAACUUAGUUAGUGUAACAGCUGAAAAGGAUUGCUUUAAUGACGUUGUCGAGAUUCAAGUGUCUUCA